AUUGAACGCUGGCGGCAUGCCUUACACAUGCAAGUCGAACGGCAGCGGACCUUCGGGUGCCGGCGAGUGGCGAACGGGUGAGUAAUGCAUCGGAACGUGCCAUUGAGUGGGGGAUAACGUAGCGAAAGUUACGCUAAUACCGCAUAUUCUGUGAGCAGGAAAGCAGGGGACCGCAAGGCCUUGCGCUCUUUGAGCGGCCGAUGUCAGAUUAGCUAGUUGGUGAGGUAAAGGCUUACCAAGGCGACGAUCUGUAGCGGGUCUGAGAGGAUGAUCCGCCACACUGGAACUGAGACACGGUCCAGACUCCUACGGGAGGCAGCAGUGGGGAAUUUUGGACAAUGGGCGCAAGCCUGACCCAGCCAUGCCGCGUGAGUGAAGAAGGCCU
rnacentral:rRNA from 1 species